rnacentral:rRNA from 1 species
UGCCAGCAGCCGCGGUAAUACGAAGGGUGCAAGCGUUGUUCGGAUUUAUUGGGCGUAAAGCGCGCGCAGGCGGAUAGGUAAGUCAGAUGUGAAAUCUCGGGGCUCUACCUCGAAACUGCGUCUGAAACUACUUAUCUAGAAUCUCGGAGAGGGAAGUGGAAUUUCGCAUGUAGGGGUAAAAUCCGUAGAGAUGCGAAGGAACACCGGAGGCGAAGGCGGCUUCCUGGACGAGUAUUGACGCUGAGGCGCGAAAGCGUGGGGAGCAAACAGGAUUAGAUA